CCCCAGUCUACAUAAACAACAAGUGAGCGUCAACUGCUGCUGCUCUCCUCGCUCUAGGGACAACAUCUUCCUUUCACUUCUUCCCACACCAUCCACAUUUUCUUCAACAUUACAAUCUAUUUCAAACUGAUACAUUUUCCUACAGUAUCCCAUCCAAUCUCGUACCCAGAGCUACUCAACGACGGCUCUGGCUACGAGAUUGUAUCUCAUCUAUACAAAGUUACUGGUUUUCAUUUGCAAUCUCAUUAAUCUCACAGUCGCUCCUCUCAUUUUCUU